rnacentral:rRNA from 1 species
GCAGUCGCCGCGGUAAUACGGAGGGUGCAAGCGUUAAUCGGAAUUACUGGGCGUAAAGCGCACGCAGGCGGUCUGACAAGUCAGAUGUGAAAUCCCCGGGCUUAACCUGGGAACUGCAUUUGAAACUGUCAGGCUGGAGUCUUGUAGAGGGGGGUGGAAUUCCAGGUGUAGCGGUGAAAUGCGUAGAGAUCUGGAGGAAUACCGGUGGCGAAGGCGGCCCCCUGGACAAAGACUGACGCUCAGGUGCGAAAGCGUGGGGAGCAAACAGGAUUAGAUACCCCGGUAGUCCCUGUCUCUUAUAU